rnacentral:RNase_P_RNA from 1 species
CGAGAUGACCGAACGGUUACGAGCGCGGCGGUAUAGCGAUAUGCCGUCCUCCGCACGAGGAAAGUCCGAACACCACAGGGACGGAAUGCCGGCUAACUACCGGUGAAGGCGACUUCAAGGAAAGUGCAACAGAAAUAAACCGCCCGUGCCAAACGGGCAAGGAUGGAAAGGUAGGGUAAGAGCCUACCGCUUCGGCGGCGACGCCGAGGGCUAUGUAAACCCCAUUCGGUGCAAGAUAGGGAGCUAUGGUUUGUCCCGACCGCUUCCGUACUCGCUUGACUUUUGCGGCAACGCAAAGGCUAGACAGAUAACCGUUCUCGACAGAAUUCGGCUUACAGGUCAUUCUCACCAU